UUUGAGUUCGGGAGUUCGGGAUUCAGGUUGAUUAAAACAAAAAUGGAAGGCCAGCAACCGAAUCAGCAAAAUCAACCACAACAGCAGCAAGUAGCGCCAAUACACAAGGGCUCGAUAGCUGAUGAUUAUGCGGACCCACGUGAAAUGAGUGGUAUUCUUAGAGGAGAAAACCUACCUGAAGUCUUUCACGCAGACAGAGGACCAAACAUCGAAAUAAAUGAAUGUUUAAGAAAUCUGUGACCAAACAAACAAUUGAACCUAGUAACUAAUGUGGAAAUUCGUCAACAACUGCCAAUAGAAUUAACGAAAGGAUUCAACUAUUCGAUAAGAGCGAAUUGCAUUUUUAAUCAUCGAAAAAGUAUAAUUUAAAUUGAAAAUUCUUGUAAACAAUUAUAUAUAUAGUUGAAAGUUUAACUACUGCUCAAUUUGAAGCAUGCAUUAUAUUAAACAAUAAUUUACUGUUAUUUAGAACUUUUACCUCAAGAAAUUAGUUGAUGAACUGUUGUAGAACCGAUUAAACAAAAUGUAUACCUUAGGUUGGUGUAAUAAGUAAUAAAUUUAAAUUUCACAAAUAACAAAAUUAAAUUCUAUGGAAUUGAAAAUUAUUUAAAUAGGUUGUUUUGUAGGAUACAUAUAUUAUGUAUCAGAAUUAAUGACUAGCAAAAUGUCAUGGAAUAUAAUUACAAGAGCCGAUCAAGUGAAUUUGAACAGGAGAAUAUCAGCGUUCGCUGAUAUUCUGAGGAUCAUAUUUUGAAAAACCCCUAAAUAUUAUACUGUAAUGUAUGAACCGGAUGUAGAGCCUAUUAUUAGAAUUGCUCUAGUAUAGGCGAACGAAUAAAAAUAUAAAUACAAUCUUUAA